rnacentral:rRNA from 1 species
UACGGAGGAUCCAAGCGUUAUCCGGAUUCAUUGGGUUUAAAGGGUGCGUAGGCGGCUUAUUAAGUCAGCGGUGAAAGCCUGGAGCUUAACUCCAGAACUGCCAUUGAUACUGAUGAGCUUGAGUACACUUGAAGUGGGCGGAAUGUGUCGUGUAGCGGUGAAAUGCUUAGAUAUGACACAGAACACCGAUUGCGAAGGCAGCUCACUAAAUUGUAACUGACGCUGAGGCACGAAAGCGUGGGGAUCAAACAGG